GCGCGCAUCAGAGCGCAUUAUGCGAUGAGCGCAUUAUGCGAAAUGCGCGCAAUAUUCUCGCAUCACGUAAACGCAUCGCAUCAGCUGUUGCGAUGCGCUCUCAUUAGCGCAUCGGGCGCAUCACGCAUUAUGCGCGCAUUAUGCGCGCAUUUUAAAACCAAGAUGUAGAGCAGCAGGCUCGCAAGGAAGCAGGCUCGCAAGGAGACUGGUGUGCUCGUAUGUAGAGCAGCAGGCUGGCAUGGAGGCUGACGUGCUCGUAUGUAAAGAAGCAUGCUCGUAUAGCGACUUACGUGCUCGUAUGUAGAGUAGCAUACUCGCAUUGAGACUGAGAUGCUCGUAUGUAAAGGAGCAUGCGCGCAUGGCGUCUUACGUGCUCGUAUGUAGGACAGCAGACUCGCACGGCGUCUGAGAUGCUCGUAUGUAAAAGAGCAUGCGCGUAUGGCGACUUACGUGAACGUAAGUAAGGGAGCAUGCGAGUAUGGCGACUUACAUGCUCGUAUGUAGAGCAGCAGGCCCGUAAGGAGACUGGUGUGCUCGUAUGUAGAGCAGCAGACUCGUAUGGCGACUGAGAUGCUCGUAUGUGAAGGAGCAGGCGUGCUCGCUAGUAUGUAGAGCAUGUGCCGGCCGGCGCAUGUGUGCUCGGUUGUAAGUAAAGGCUUGCUCGUAACUAGAGGAGCAAGUGCCUGCUAGCGCAUGUGUGAUCGCUCGUAAGUGGAGGCUCGCUCGUAAUUAGAGGAACAUGCGCCAGCCGGCGCAUGUGUGCUCGCUGGUAAGCAGAGGAGCAUGCGCCAGCCGGCACAUGUGUUCUCGCUCGUAAGUGGAGGCUCGCUCGUAAGGGGAGGAGCAUGUGCCUGUCGGCGCAUGUGUGCUCGCUCGUAAGUAUGUAAAGGAGCAUGCGUCAGCCGGCGCAUGUGUGCUCGCUCAUAAGUGGAGGCUCGCUCGUAAGUAUGUAGAGGAACAUGCGCCAGCCGGCGCAUGUGUGCCCACUAGUAAGCAGAGGGGCAUGCGCCAGCCGGCGCAUGUAUGCUCGCUCAUAAGGGAGAAUGCGCGUAUGGCGACUUACGUGCUCGUACGUAGAGCAGUAGACUAGCAUUGAGACUGAUAUGCUCGUAUGUAAAGUAUGUAAAGAAGCAUGCGCGCGUGGCGACUUACGUGCUCGUAUGUAGAGCGGCAGGCUCGCACGGGGACUGAGAUGCUCGUAUGAAAAGGAGCAUGCGCGUAUGGCGACUUACUUGCUCGUAUGUAGAGUAGCAAGCUCGCAAGAAAACUGGUAUGCUCGUAUGUAGAGCAGCAGACUCGCAUGAAGACUGAGAUGCUCGUAUGUAAAGGAGCAGGUGUGCUCCUUCGUAUGUAUAGGAGCAUGUGUGCUCGCUCGUAAGGAGAGACUUGCUCGUAAGUAGAAGAGCACGCGCCAGCCGGCGCAUUUGUGAUCGCUCGUAAGUGGAGGCUCGCUCGUAAUUAGAGGAGCAUGCGCCAGCCGGCACAUGUGUUCUAGCUCGUAAGAAGAUGAGCAUGCGCCAACCGGCGCAUGUGUGCUCGCUCGUUAGUGGAGGCUCGCUCAUAUGUAGAGGAGCACGAGCCAGCCGGCGCAUGUGUGCACGCUGGUAAGCAGAGGGGUAUGCGCCAGCCCGCGCAUGUGUGCUCGCUCAUAAGGGAGAAUGAGCGUAUCGCAACUUACGUGCUCGUAUGUAGAGCAGCAG
rnacentral:lncRNA from 1 species